rnacentral:rRNA from 1 species
AGAGUUUGAUCAUGGCUCAGAUUGAACGCUGGCGGCAGGCCUAACACAUGCAAGUCGAACGGUAACAGGAAGCAGCUUGCUGCUUUGCUGACGAGUGGCGGACGGGUGAGUAAUGUCUGGGAAACUGCCUGAUGGAGGGGGAUAACUACUGGAAACGGUGGCUAAUACCGCAUAACGUCGCAAGACCAAAGAGGGGGACCUUCGGGCCUCUUGCCAUCAGAUGUGCCCAGAUGGGAUUAGCUUGUUGGUGAGGUAACGGCUCACCAAGGCGACGAUCCCUAGCUGGUCUGAGAGGAUGACCAGCCACACUGGAACUGAGACACGGUCCAGACUCCUACGGGAGGCAGCAGUGGGGAAUAUUGCACAAUGGGCGCAAGCCUGAUGCAGCCAUGCCGCGUGUAUGAAGAAGGCCUUCGGGUUGUAAAGUACUUUCAGCGGGGAGGAAGGUGUUGUGGUUAAUAACCGCAGCAAUUGACGUUACCCGCAGAAGAAGCACCGGCUAACUCCGUGCCAGCAGCCGCGGUAAUACGGAGGGUGCAAGCGUUAAUCGGAAUUACUGGGCGUAAAGCGCACGCAGGCGGUCUGUCAAGUCGGAUGUGAAAUCCCCGGGCUCAACCUGGGAACUGCAUUCGAAACUGGCAGGCUUGAGUCUUGUAGAGGGGGGUAGAAUUCCAGGUGUAGCGGUGAAAUGCGUAGAGAUCUGGAGGAAUACCGGUGGCGAAGGCGGCCCCCUGGACAAAGACUGACGCUCAGGUGCGAAAGCGUGGGGAGCAAACAGGAUUAGAUACCCUGGUAGUCCACGCCGUAAACGAUGUCUACUUGGAGGUUGUGCCCUUGAGGCGUGGCUUCCGGAGCUAACGCGUUAAGUAGACCGCCUGGGGAGUACGGCCGCAAGGUUAAAACUCAAAUGAAUUGACGGGGGCCCGCACAAGCGGUGGAGCAUGUGGUUUAAUUCGAUGCAACGCGAAGAACCUUACCUGGUCUUGACAUCCACAGAACUUUCCAGAGAUGGAUUGGUGCCUUCGGGAACCGUGAGACAGGUGCUGCAUGGCUGUCGUCAGCUCGUGUUGUGAAAUGUUGGGUUAAGUCCCGCAACGAGCGCAACCCUUAUCCUUUGUUGCCAGCGGUUAGGCCGGGAACUCAAAGGAGACUGCCAGUGAUAAACUGGAGGAAGGUGGGGAUGACGUCAAGUCAUCAUGGCCCUUACGACCAGGGCUACACACGUGCUACAAUGGCGCAUACAAAGAGAAGCGACCUCGCGAGAGCAAGCGGACCUCAUAAAGUGCGUCGUAGUCCGGAUUGGAGUCUGCAACUCGACUCCAUGAAGUCGGAAUCGCUAGUAAUCGUGGAUCAGAAUGCCACGGUGAAUACGUUCCCGGGCCUUGUACACACCGCCCGUCACACCAUGGGAGUGGGUUGCAAAAGAAGUAGGUAGCUUAACCUUCGGGAGGGCGCUUACCACUUUGUGAUUCAUGACUGGGGUGAAGUCGUAACAAGGUAACCGUAGGGGAACCUGCGGUUG